rnacentral:rRNA from 1 species
UACGUAGGGUCCGAGCGUUGUCCGGAAUUAUUGGGCGUAAAGGGCUCGUAGGCGGUCUGUCGCGUCGGGAGUGAAAACUUACAGCUUAACUGUGAGCGUGCUUCCGAUACGGGCAGACUUGAGGUAUUCAGGGGAGAACGGAAUUCCUGGUGUAGCGGUGAAAUGCGCAGAUAUCAGGAGGAACGCCGGUGGCGAAAGCGGUGUGCUGGACCUCUUCUGACGCUGAGGCGCGAAAGCCAGGGGAGCAAACGGG